UACGUAGGGUGCGAGCGUUGUCCGGAAUUAUUGGGCGUAAAGAGCUUGUAGGCGGUUUGUCGCGUCUGCUGUGAAAAUCCGGGGCUCAACCCCGGACUUGCAGUGGGUACGGGCAGACUAGAGUGUGGUAGGGGAGACUGGAAUUCCUGGUGUAGCGGUGAAAUGCGCAGAUAUCAGGAGGAACACCGAUGGCGAAGGCAGGUCUCUGGGCCACUACUGACACUGAGAAGCGAAAGCAUGGGGAGCGAACAGGAUUAGAUA
rnacentral:rRNA from 1 species